UGAGCUAGGUGUUGCGUCACUACAUGUUGACGCAGUGUCGAAAUGAAGAUGUUAAGCUCACCGCCUGGGAAGUACGGUCGCAAGACUGAAACUUUAAGGAAUUGGCGGGGGAGCACCACAAGGGGUGCGGCGUGCGGUUUAAUCUAACUCAACGCAGAGAACCUUACUAGAAGCGACGGCAGGAUGAAAGUCAACUUGAAGAGUUUACUUGACGAGCCGAGAGGUGGUGCAUGGCCGCCGUCAGCUCGUGCUGUGAAGUGUCCAGCUAAGCCUGGCAACGAGCGAGACCUGUAUUCGCAAUUGCUAACAGCCACAUGUGGGACUGAGCACUUUGCGAAGACUGCCUUGGAAACAAGGAGGAAGGUGCAGGCUACGGUAGGUCUGUAUGCCCCGAAUCUUCUAGGCUACACGCGCGCAACAAUGGUUGGGACAAUGGGAUGCCACUCCGAAAGGAGAAGCUAAACCUCUAAACCCAAUCCAAGUCUAGAUUGAGGCUUGCAACUCAGCCUCAUGACAACGGAAUCCCUAGUAAUCAGAAGUCAUCAUCUUCUGGUGAAUAUGUCCCUGCUCCUUGCACACA
rnacentral:rRNA from 1 species